rnacentral:miRNA from 8 species
UCUCCCAAUCCUUGUACCAGUGUC